UACGGAGGAUGCGAGCGUUAUCCGGAUUUAUUGGGUUUACAGGGUGCGUAGGCGGUAUGGUAAGUCAGCGGUAAAAGCCCGGGGCUCAACCCCGGCGAGCCGUUGAAACUGGCGUUCUUGAGUGGAAGAGAAGUAUGCGGAAUGCGUGGUGUAGCGGUGAAAUGCAUAGAUAUCACGCAGAACCCCGAUUGCGAAGGCAGCAUGCCGGCCUCCGACUGACGCUGAAGCACGAAAGCGUGGGGAUCGAACAGG
rnacentral:rRNA from 1 species